UGUUUUGAUCCCUGCCCUCUGCUUCCUGCUCUCAGGGGUAGCCAGGCUUGUGUGUCCAUAUCAAAUGGGAGCCACCACCAGAAGCUGAUGAGGCCACCUGUUGCAGGAAGAGGAGGAUAACAAAGCACAGGUUCCACAGGCAUCCAGCUGUCACCUAUGACUACACAGAGCAGUAUCAGACACCUUCCCUGCCCUGCACUCUCCUGUGGUGUGCUGUACCCAUGAAAGAGCUCACUGUUCCAGUGUUACAAGUGAGGCCUUAUACAAUGGGCUGCUCUGCUCCCACGUGAUGGGAGACAGCCACGGGGCAGCUGAGAUCCCUGGGAUGAAGGAGUCCAUCUUCAGCCAUGUCCAGGUAAGGGAGCCACUCAAAGUCUUGGGUUUAUGCUUGGUGCACAGAUCACACUCCAUACCCAAACUCUCCCUGCAAAAGGUUUUCUGAUGCGUUUAUUUCAGCAGCAGAAUUCAAUACAAUUUAUUAUUUUCUUUGGGACAUUUGUAGAACAGCAAGAACAGAAAGAGGGAAGCCUUAACUUAUUCAUGCCCCAUUUUCCUUGUUUGCAACUACAAAAUGAAGUUUAAAACAAAAUACACCCCUGCUUGGGAAAAUCAGAUAAACUCUUUAAGAAAACCCAACUUCACACUUACUAACAAAAUUUGGCCGCAGUAUCAAAAGUCAGACUGAUAUUGGAAUGUAGCAUGAUCCCCAUAUUCACCGACACAUUUAUUUUCCAUCAGACCAGAUUUCUUUUGACAGCAUCAUAACAUUACGUAGACGUACUUCUUUCUAUAAAAAGCAGCAACAACUAGAAGUGACAAAUUAUAUCUGGUAUGCAAUCACAUUAUCUCUCUGUGAUGCAAAGGUGCUGAUUAAAAAAAAUAAUUCAGUCAUUCAAGGAGUGUCAUAGAUCUAAUUGCAUUUCACAGGAACUAAGCCCUUAUUUAGACUAUCUACCACUUGUAGAAUAUUUCCAGAACCACUCCUUCUGCCUUGGUUUUAAAUAUAAUUAUUACUAUGCAUACCAUACUAUGCAUCUUCUUGGUGGUGAUGAAAUGAGCGCUGAUCCACACAAAGUAUGCCUUAUCUCAAAAAAGAAGAAGGUUCAAGCUCAAUUUUCAAAGCUCUUUUCAAAUUCUUUCCUGAAAAAUCUCAGUCUUUCAAUUAUGUUACAAAAUGAAACAACU